GCCCGGUUGGCGCAAUGGUCGCGUGUUCGCCUCCUAUCUGAAAAGGAAGCUCUUGAAAAGCGAAAAGCUUUAUAGCGAAAGGUUGUGGGUUCGAGUCCCACAUCGGGUG